ACUAGAAAUCUAAUGACAUCUUAGCAGGUCCUGUCACCAUAUGAAUCUCAAAAUUUCAGAGCUGGCAGGGACUUUAAAGGCCACCAGGGGCCGGGCGCGGUGGCUCAUGCCUGUAAUCCAAGCA